GGGAAGUUGGCUCAGUGGUAGAGCGCUUGCCUCGCAUGCCAGAGGCCCGGGGUUCGAUUCCUCAGCACCACA
rfam:Dipodomys ordii contig_54758, whole genome shotgun sequence.